CAGUGCCGGCUGCCCUCCAGAAGGGCAGGGGACUGGUUAGAGAGAGCUCUUCCCAGGGUGCACCCCUGUGCCUCCCCAUUGGAUGCCGGCCAGCGAUGAAACGCUGUGUAACCGUUCUCUCUUGUGACCGAGUUCUAUUUCGAACGGUGGCCGGGGCCCAGGUGACCGCCGCGGCUUAGGUGUUUGAGACGGGCGGCGCUGCCCCUCCUGCCGGCCAUGGCACAUAGCCGCUGCUCACACACAGGCCCCACCCCGCCAAUCGUUUUGCCGGACCGGCUCGGCGAUUGUCGGGAUCAGACUUCCCGAAUCGAGAUUUUGAUCAUUUACCGCGACUCCUGAAGUUACCAUUUUCGGCUCAACCGACUGAAAAGGCAGCUAAAUGAGCUUUUCCCAGAGCGGCUAACCUUUGUUGAGGAGCCAGUCCUCUCCGAAGAUUUUGAGGUCUUUGUGGCUGGCAAGCUGGUGCAUUCUAAAAAGAGAGGAGAUGGAUAUGUGGAUGGCUACCUGAAUACUUGGAAAUUCAACAGAAUUGUGGCUCAGAUCGAGAAAGUGUUCAGCGACUUGUAACCUAAAGCUUGGACCAACACUGAUGCAGGGGGGAACCUCCUUUCUCCCUCUGACUCCAGCUCAAUGACAGGAAAGAUGGAAAAUACCUCCGAAGCUGGGUCCUUCCUUGAUGGCUGCUGGAGAACUUAGGGGAGUGGGAGAGAAAAAAUAACAGGUGCCUUUCAUCUUCUGUCUGUCUCUAUUUAAAAGAGGGAGGGAAGCAGAAUGGGUGAGUGGUAAGGGGAACAGGAUGUAUGGGUGUCAGAGGAUCCCAGCUGUACUCACUGUGGGCCUGAAGAUUUCCUUCUGUGCCUCAGUUUUCCCAUAUAUAUAACAAGGAGGUUAGGCUGUAUACCCUCUAGUCCCUUCCAGCUGUAAAUCCUGUGAAACCUAUGAGGGCCCCAGGCUUGGAAACAUUAUCAUAUUUAUGGGAAUAAAAGCCACUGGUAAGGCUCUACCAAAAUGAAAGGAAAUAAGUCAUCCUCCCUGGAGGGUUCGGGAGCCUAGUCUGGAGACUGGGUAUUCCUGCUACAGCCCCUUCAAUGCUACUAUUGCUGACAAGGACAGUACCCACACCAAUAAUCUCCCCCCCCCUCUAUUUUCCCCCAAUUACAUGUAAUAACAAAUUUCCACAUAUUUUCUUUUUUUUUUAAACCCUUACCUUCCGUCUUGGAGUCAAUACUGUGUAUUGGCUCCAAGGCAGAAGAGUGGUAAGGGCUAGGCAAUGGGGGUCAAGUGACUUGCCCAGGGUCACACAGCUAGGAAGUGUCUGAGGCCAGAUUUGAACCUAGGACCUCCAGUCUCUAGGACUGGCUCUUAAUCCACUGAGCUACCCAGCUGACCCCUCCACGUAUUUUCUAAAGUUAUAACAUACAAAUUGUCUUCCUCUUGCCCUUCACUCCCUGAAUAUUUAUCAGGCAAAAAACAUUUCCAUAUUGGUCAUUAUUGUAAGAGAAUAUUCAUAUAAAACCAAAACCCCAAAGUAAAAACCCAAAUUAACUAAAGUGAAAAGAUAGUGUGCUUUGAUCUGCUUUUGUGACUCCCACAGAUUUCUCUAGAGGUGGAAAGCAUUCUUUGUCCUAAACCCUUCAGCAUUAUCCUGGAUCAUUGUGUUGCUGAGAAUAGCUAAGUCUAUCGCAGUUGAUCAUUCCCCAAUAUUGCUGUUACUGUGUACACUGUUUUUCUGGUUCUGCUUGUUUCACUCCACAUCAGUUCAUGGAGGUCUUUCCAGCUCUUUCUGAAAUCAUCCUGUUCAUCAUUCCUUAUAGCACAAUAGUAUUCCAUCCCCAUCAUAGACCACCAUUUGUUCAACCAUUCCCCAGAUGAUGGACAUUCCCUCAAUUUCCAAUUCUUUGCCACCACAAGAAGAGCCGUUAUAAUUUUUUUUUUUUGCACAAGUAGGUCUCCCCCUCACCUUUUUUAAAAUCUCUUUGGAAUAUAGACCCAGGAGUGGAAUUAAAGGAUUUUUUGCACAGUUUUAUAACCUUUUCUAUGCAUAAUUCCAAAUUGCCCUUCAGAAUGGUUGGAUCAGUUAACAAUUCCACUAACAAUGCAUUAGUGUCCCCGUUUUGCCACAUCCCUUCUGACAUUUGUCACUUUCCUUUACUGUCAUAUUGACCAAUCUGAUAGGCAAAUAAUCUUGACAAGUUAGGCAGCCUAAAUAAGAUGAGUGUCUACCUCAACACUUGUAUUAAAUAACAAAAAGCUAUCCUUUUCAUUUACUUUUGUCACAACUCAACAAAUAGUAAAGAUAAAAAAGUUAAUAUGAACUCCAUUAAAUCUAAAGUGAGAAUCAGACGACUAGUAAUGGUGGUCCCCAGUUAUGUAGGGCAUGGGCUCUGAACAUUUUCUGUGUCCUGGACCCCGGGGGCGGGCAGUUUGGGGAAAUCUGUGGACUCUUCCUCAGAAUCAUCUUUUUAAAAUGCAUAAGAUGAAACACAGAGGAUUGCAAAGGAAUCCAAUUAUGUUGUAAGAUAGUUAACUAUAUAUAUAAUUUAUCUGUACAUAUACAGGUAUCCUUUCUCUAUCUCAGGGCAUUAGGGGCAUGGUACCCUUGUGAUCUGGAAAAUCCAUGUAAAAUUUUUUGGCUUUCCUGCCGUAUAAGAGAAGAAGUCUGAAUUUUUUCUUUUAUGGGGUGUUUAUAGGAAAAGAAAUUGUGUAUAUUUGUGGUAUUAAAAUAUAAAACAUGUCAAUAUUAUACAAUAC